rnacentral:siRNA from 1 species
AGGUGCAUGCCUAUAUAAUACA